UAUAUUUAAGAUUACUGACACUGAGCAGAAAGAGGUACUGUGCAAGAUUUGCGCUGUUCCCCGAACAAAACAAAGCACAAUUACAGAUGUGUUUGCAAGUCUCACGCCAUAUGAUAAGUCUUCACCUAGACAUAAAGAAAUCACUGACUCCACUCUGUUGGCAAAAGACAUGAUGCCCAUACACACCGUUAGUAAAGUGGGAUUUCAGAAAAUGAUCCGCACACUGGACAAGAGGUUCCAGCUGCCCUCUUGAAACUAUUUCAUGGUAGCGAUCCCUAAACUUUAUAACUCACGCCAUGACGAAGUUCAAAAGAAAAUGGCUACGGUGACGUUCUUUUAAACCACUUCAAACCUGUGGUCAAGCAGGACAGGUGAACCUUAUAUUAGAUUGACUGUGCACUUUGUCGACGAGGAGUUUGAAUUAAAAAGCCACUGCCUGCAAACAUCGUAUUUCCCCGAUGACCACACAGGAGAGAACAUAGCCUUGGGCUUGAGAGAGGCACUGGCUGCGUGGGACCUCUGUGAGGAGCGUCAGGUCGCCAUCACAACAGACAAUGGCACCAACAUUGUCAAAGCGGUGGAGCUUAAUCGGUGGACUAAAAUCCAGUGUUUUGGGCAUAGACUUCAUUUGGCCAUUGAAAAUGCUCUGAAAGAUAAUGCACAAUGCAUUAACAGAGCUACUGGGAUAUGCAGGAAGAUUGUUGGCCACUUAUCCCAUAGUUGGAAGAAAAGAGUGCCCUUGAGAGAAGCACAAUGAGAGCUCAACCUCCCAGAGCAUGCCAUGGUGACAGACUGCUCAACACGAUGGGGUUCCACUCAGAAAAUGAUAGCAAGAUUCCUGGAGCAGCAAAGUGCGUUGUCCAAGGUUCUCUCUACAGACCGCGAAGUGCGACACCUACUCCCUUCAUGGCAGGACCUGGAGGUCUUGGAAUCUGUAAACAGGGCAGUAAGCCCACUCCAGGACUUUACGGAUGCCUUAUAGGGUGAACGUUAUGUGAGCAUAUCUUGUGUGAAACCUGCUCUGCAUCUUCUGAAAACCUCAGUGCUGGCUGAAGACGAAGCAGACACUGACCUGACCAAAUCACCGAAAUCAAAAAUUCUUAGCUACCUCAACAACAAAUAUGAAGGCACGCAGGACUUACUAAACUUCACCACUUUCCUAGACCCAAGGUUCUGAAACACAAUACAUCUCUGAAGAAGAGACCCAGACCUUAAAGGAAUGAGCCAUCUCUGGGUUGAUAGAAAUUCACCACCAGCAGUCUGUAGCCCAAAGCACUGCAGUGAUGGAGAAUGAUAGCAUGGAUGUGGAAAGUCCACCUGCUGCUAAAGCCAAAAAGAAAACUCUGGCCAGUUUCUUCAAGGAAAUCACAUGCACAACACCAAGAGCAUCAUUGUCAUCCACAUUUGAUUUCAUGGCACAGUUUAGAGAAGCAGUGACCGCCGCUGAACUCAAUGCUUACAUUUACAUGCCAUGUGUAGACCAUGGAGAAGAUCCACCGAAAUGAGGGAAGUUCCACAAAGUAAACUUCCCUAGACUAUGCAAACUAGCACAGAAAUAUCUGGGCAUACAAGCAACAAGCUCUGCAUCAGAGAGAGCUUUUAACACUAGUGGUAAUGUUGAACAUCGCUCCUGUCUGAAACCAGAGAAAGUGGAUACAGACUGCUGGUGGAUGUUUGUCUUUUUGACAAAGAACCUCUAAUAUGAUAUGUUUAACUGUUUAGAAAGAGGAUUUGGAAGUGCCGGUUUUGAUUGAGUGAACCACAAUUUUAUAUCCAGUUUCCAUUUCAAAAGAGUUUAUACAGAGUAUAUGUUACAUCCUGCGUAAAUGUGCCUGUUUGUUUGGACAAAAUGUUUAAAAUAUCUUAUUUUUGUGAAAAUGUGUAUGUUUUUAUUUAUUGUUUUAUUUAAUUUAGCUAUACUUUUGAGAAAAUAAGUUUACAUGAAUGCAAAUGUUAUUUCAUUUUGUAAAAAAUAAUUUAUUUUAAAACAUUUCUAGUUUUACAAAUACACAUUUUAGCAUUAUCACUAAUCUGUGUGUGCAUUUUCCUUAAAAACCCAUCAAGUUGACUCAUGAUACAAUUUAUUAUAAUCCCAUAUGGCAAUACUGACUUCAAUAACGGCAAUAUGAAAAUUUUCCCAAAUCGUGCAGCCCUAAUUGCAAUGCAUUAGGCCUAACAGAAAGCCAGUUAAUGUAAAGAUUUUUAAUUAUACUAUUAAUAGCAUUUAUAGUAUUUUUGUGCCAUGACAAUGGGUGUGGGAACAUGUGAAACAUGCACACUUACACUUAAUUGAAUUUAAUUAGGCAAAAUAUUAAACAUUUAAUGCUCAUUUUGAGCACCAAAUAUGUGUUGUUUAGUUGAUGUUUCUCACUAAGCAACUGCAUGCAGUGCAAGAUGACUUACAGGUUUGAGCCAGGUUUGAGAGUUUCUCCACGUCUAGAAAGCAUUAGUGCCGCAGAUAAUUUCAAAAGUUUAACAGCUAACGCCAGCAUUAAAGACUUUUUUAAAGAAGUAAGUUAAGCUCAAAACUCACUAUCAGACAGCAGUGGGUGUUUGAUAUAACUUCUGUUUGAGAUCCGAUGUGGAUUAUGGUCACCAUAAAAGGCAGAAAUAUUUACAAGCGACGCAAAAUACUAUGCACACUAGCCAUUAGUAAAUAUGGUAAAUAGCCUAAGACCGCUUGAAGAAAUCAGACAUCAGCUUCUCAUUCAGACUAUCACAGUCGUGUAUUUAUUUAGUAAUAUAUUUUAUCUGCCUCGUCUCGAGACCUUAGCUCUGCGUAUGUCAAAAAAUGUGACCCUGGACCACAAAACCAGUCUUAGGUCGCUGGGGUAUAUUUGUAGCAGUAGCCGAAAAUACAUUGUAUGGGUCAAAAUUUUAGAUUUUUCUUUUAUGCCAA